UUUCUUCCCCAUCUUCUUGCGCAUGGUCAGUGAGAUGGCUUUCAUCUUCUUCCCUAACCCCCCUUUGAUAUGAUCGCCCUCGGCCGAUUCGCCAUCAGCACCCUGUCCCUCAAUGAAGAUUGAAGCAUUUACCGAAGUGCUCUCAUGUUCCUCCGGCUUGGGCUGGUUUUUGGACGUGUCGAACCUGCCAAAGCUGUAAGAGCGCUGAUGAAGACAGAAGUGCAAUGCCUUACCACUGAUGUCUGGAGGAUUUCUGCUCUCCUCGACAUUGCUCUUCACCAGCUUGUGGGUCUUCUGGAGAGUUCCGUGUGCCUUGUCCUCACCAACCUGCAGGCCAAAAGGAAGAAUUCUUGGGCGCCAGUUUUAGCAGAUUGGUGAGUUCCAGGAAUCCUGUUAUUUGAUCAUCUGUUGUGCCUGAAAGAAACUACUGAAAAUUCAGAGAUUCAGAAGAGUAGGAGGCUCUUAGUUGUCCAUCAAAUGAAGGGAGCUGGUAUUAAACAGCAAGGAUUAGAAGGAAGAUACAGAAAUUAUCCAUCCGGCAUUGAGAUUUGCUGAUGUACCUGAACGUCGUAAUCCCUCUCAUUUCUCUCAGUUCUUUCUUCUUGAGCCAAGGGGUUCAUCAUGUAUGGAGCUUCACUUGCAUCUGUUCAGAAUGCAGAGAUUGUAAAUAAUCAGUGGGAGAAAGAUCGCCAGCAGCAUUCCAUGCGAAACGAGUUCAAACAUUGCAACAUGGUCUUAUAAUUGCAAGAAUUUCUACAAGGUGGGCUAAUGGUUCCAUAAUGCACCUGGCAGCCAUUUUGUAAUCUUUCACCCAAGCGGCACGGGCAUUCGCGUCAUCGUUGAUGUGCGAGGUUUUCCAGUCUAUCGACACGUCACCUUCAUUUAAAUACACGUACUCAUAAACAUCCUGCUGCAUCACUUACCUUCAGCAUGAUGGUGAACUAGAUCAUCUGUCUUCCCAGUGCACGGACAGUAGACGUUACUGGGUGCUGUUUUGUCUGUGAAUAAGAACAGAGACCAAAAUAGUCAUUAUGUUAGUAAAACAUAAUGUGUGAGAUAAAUCAAGUGGCAGCAACUGAGUCAGCCAAGCAGGGUACGAGUGGGACAGCCAUUUGAGCCAUUUGGGAGUGUGGGCUUAAUUUGGAAGGCCAAAAUUAGAGUGAUAAAGGACCGAUGGAUCAGUGGGAAAUUGGUGUAACUAAAUUCAAAGCUGUAGUGAGUGCACUUUAAACUUUUAAUUAAAAACGGCAGGGUGCAGUGUGAUUAAAAAGGCAAAUCUGACGUACCACUGAUGCGUGUUAACUCUGAUGUGCGUGAUCUGUUACAUACACAAAACAUACACAAAAGAAGUGUUAGAUACAGUAAAGGUUCAUUGGAAUGUCGUAGUUGAAUUAACAAAGAGCGCAGGAAAGUCCGUUACAUGCAGUGUUUCGUGUCAGUCGAGUGGAAUGGAAUAGAAUGGAACAAAACAGAAAAGCAUGCAUCUUGUCUUUGGGCGACGAUGCCACAACCAUCUGUGGGAAUCCAAGAGAGCAAAAUCGG